UACGAAGGGUGCAAGCGUUACUCGGAAUUACUGGGCGUAAAGCGUGCGUAGGUGGUGAGUUAAGUCUGUCGUGAAAGCCCCGGGCUCAACCUGGGAAUGGCGAUGGAUACUGGCUCGCUAGAGUGCGGUAGAGGAGAGUGGAAUUCCCGGUGUAGCAGUGAAAUGCGUAGAGAUGUGGAGGAACACCAGUGGCGAAGGCGGCUUUCUGGGACGGUACUGACGCUGAGACGCGAAAGCGUGGGGAGCGAACAGG
rnacentral:rRNA from 1 species